CAAGUAAACCGGGUGACCGCUCUGUAUUUAAUAUACAGGGAGGAAAGUCCGAGCUCCACCGAGCAAGGUGCUGGGUAACACCCAGGAGGGGCAACCCUAUGGAAAGUGCCACAGAAACAUACCACCCGUCCUCUGCCAAGUAAAGGACGGGUAAGGGUGAAAUGGCGAGGUAAGAGCUCACCAGCAACCAGGUGACUGGCUGGCUGGGCAAACCCUACCUGGAGCAAGACCGAAUAGGAGGGCAAUUAAGGUGCUCGGCCAAUGCCCUCGGGUUGGUCGCUUGACCUUGAUGGUAACAUCAGGGCUAGAUGGAUGGUCACCACCCUAUUUCAGGGGACAGAACUCGGCUUAUAGGUUUACUUGCCCC
rnacentral:RNase_P_RNA from 1 species